rnacentral:rRNA from 1 species
UGGGGAAUAUUGGACAAUGGGGGCAACCCUGAUCCAGCGAUGCCGCGUGUGUGAAGAAGGCCUUCGGGUUGUAAAGCACUUUAGGUUGGGAAGAAGGGUAUGUGGUGAAUAGCCAUGUACUUUGACGGUACCGACAGAAUAAGCACCGGCUAACUCUGUGCCAGCAGCCGCGGUAAUACAGAGGGUGCAAGCGUUAAUCGGAGUUACUGGGCGUAAAGGGCGCGUAGGUGGUUGUACAAGUGGGGUGUGAAAUCCCUGGGGCUUAACCUAGGAAUUGCACUUUAGACUGUAUAGCUGGAGUGCAGUAGAGGGUAGUGGAAUUUCCGGUGUAGCGGUGAAAUGCGUAGAGAUCGGAAGGAACACCAGUGGCGAAGGCGACUACCUGGACUGCAACUGACACUGAGGCGCGAAAGCGUGGGGAGCAAACAGGAUUAGAUACCCGAGUAGUCCCUGAGCGGGCUGGCAAGGCG